rnacentral:rRNA from 1 species
GUGUCAGCCGCCGCGGUAAUACGGAGGGUGCAAGCGUUAAUCGGAAUUACUGGGCGUAAAGCGCGCGCAGGCGGUUGGAUAAGUUAGAUGUGAAAGCCCCGGGCUCAACCUGGGAAUUGCAUUUAAAACUGUCCAGCUAGAGUCUUGUAGAGGGGGGUAGAAUUCCAGGUGUAGCGGUGAAAUGCGUAGAGAUCUGGAGGAAUACCGGUGGCGAAGGCGGCCCCCUGGGCAGAUACUGACACUGAGGCGCGAAAGCGUGGGGAGCAAACAGGAUUAGAAACCCGUGUAGUCC